UACGAAGGGGGGCUAGCGUUGUUCGGAAUCACUGGGCGUAAAGGGCGCGUAGGCGGCUUUAUAAGUCGGGGGUGAAAGCCUGUGGCUCAACCACAGAAUUGCCUUCGAUACUGUAGAGCUUGAGACCGGAAGAGGUAAGUGGAACUGCGAGUGUAGAGGUGAAAUUCGUAGAUAUUCGCAAGAACACCAGUGGCGAAGGCGGCUCACUGGCCCGGAACUGACGCUGAGGUGCGAAAGCGUGGGGAGCAAAC
rnacentral:rRNA from 1 species